rnacentral:tRNA from 1 species
GCCAGUGUGGCAUAGUGGUUUGAGUGCUGGACUAUGACUCUGGGGACCUGGAUUUGAUUCCCAGCUUGGCCA